rnacentral:rRNA from 1 species
GCAAGUCGAACGGUAACAUGGUCAGCUUGCUGACUGAUGACGAGUGGCGGACGGGUGAGUAACGCGUGGGAACAUACCUGUUAGUUGGGGACAACCUGUGGAAACGCAGGCUAAUACCGAAUAUAUUCUAGGGAAUAAAGGUGGCCUCUAUUUAUAAGCUAUCGCUAACAGAUUGGCCUGCGUUGGAUUAGCUGGUUGGUGGGGUAAUGGCUCACCAAGGCGACGAUCCGUAGCUGGUCUGAGAGGAUGAUC